rnacentral:tRNA from 1 species
GCGGGGAUAGCCAAGCGGUCAACGGCGGCGGACUUAAGAUCCGUUCCUUAGUGGUUCGGGAGUUCGAAUCUCCCUCCCCGCACCA